CAUCACAGCAAUGGAUGCAAAUGAUAUAAAUAGUGCAUAAAUUCAAAUUUAUCAGGUUGGAUUUCUAAUGGUCCUGCUGAUGAGUCAUAAUACUGCAGCAAAUCCAAGGGCGAAGGGUUUCUUCACAUUAUUGCCAUGACAUGUCGAGCUUCCUGGACCCCAGCUGUCCAAAAAAAAAAAAAAAAGUCAUAAUAAUUUUCAAAUCACAAGCUGAAAGUCGGUCUCCAUCCAUUUGACAAUACAUUCCUGAGCCGUACUUGCCAUGAUUGGCGACAUGCUUUGGGGGACACUCCAGGAAAGGCGUUUCAAAAUGGCUUGAGAUGAUCCACCAGUGUAGGCGAAUUUUUUCUUCAGCCUGCGAUGAGGGCAAGAACCUUUCAUACCUCGUACAUCACAAGAUGCCCUUCUUGGCAACUAGGCUCGAAUUGCAAAUUGGGAAAUUCCAGUGCCCACCAUUACUGGCCAAUGACUGGGUGCUGGUAACCGUGGUACAUGAACAGACAAACGGCGCUGAAGUGCACCAAAAGGAGGGGACAAAAUGUAACUAUUUUAUUUUGCUGACUCCGCAGCGCUCCGCAGCGCCCGAGCUCAUACCGAAAGAAUACCUUCCGACUGGGCUUCCCUGGUCGAGACGAAAACCCCUGA
rnacentral:sRNA from 1 species